rnacentral:rRNA from 1 species
GACGAACGCUGGCGGCGUGCUUAACACAAGCAAGUCGAACGCUGAAGCUCAGCUUGCUGGGUGGAUGAGUGGCGAACGGGUGAGUAACACGUGAGUAACCUGCCCUCUUCUUUGGGAUAACGCCCGGAAACGGGUGCUAAUACUGGAUAUUCACUGAUUCUCGCAUGGGGGUUGGUGGAAAGGUUUUUUCUGGUGGGGGAUGGGCUCGCGGCCUAUCAGCUUGUUGGUGGGGUGAUGGCCUACCAAGGCUUUGACGGGUAGCCGGCCUGAGAGGGUGACCGGUCACAUUGGGACUGGGAUACGGCCCAGACGCCUACGGGAGGCAGCAGUGGGGAAUAUUGCACAAUGGGCGAAAGCCUGAUGCAGCGACGCCGCGUGAGGGACGGAGGCCUUCGGGUUGUAAACCUCUUUCGCUCAUGGUCAAGCCGCAGCUUUGGGUUGUGGUGAGGGUAGUGGGUAAAGAAGCGCCGGCUAACUACGUG